GACGAACGCUGGCGGCGUGCCUAAUACAUGCAAGUAGAACGCACAGUUUAUACCGUAGCUUGCUACACCAUAGCCUGUGAGUUGCGAAUGGGUGAGUAACGCGUAGGUAAUCUGCCUGGUAGCGGGGGAUAACUAUUGGAAUCGAUAGCUAAUACAGCAUAAUACUGAUUAUUGCAUGAUAAUUAAUUGAAUGGUGCAAUUGCACCACUACCAGAUGGACCUGCGUUGUAUUAGCUAGUAGGUGAGGUAACGGCUCACCUAGGCGACGGUACAUAGCCGACCUGAGAGGGUGAUCGGCCACACUGGGACUGAGACACGGCCCAGACUCCUACGGGAGGCAGCAGUAGGGAAUCUUCGGCAAUGGACGAAAGUCUGACCGAGCAACGCCGCGUGAGUGAAGAAGGUUUUCGGAUCGUAAAGCUCUGUUGUUAGAGAAGAACGGGUGUGAGAGUGGAAAGUUCACACUGUGACGGUAUCUUACCAGAAAGGGACGGCUAACUACGUG
rnacentral:rRNA from 1 species